rnacentral:RNase_P_RNA from 1 species
GGGUGCAGGAGGACUGCUGACAGACUUCGAGUCUGAGGAAAGUCCCCUCUCCACAGUGCAGGCGGUCGACACAAAGUCGAGACACAGAAAUGGGUCGGUCAAUGGUGCAGAAACGAACGAUACGAGGUGUGUACGAUGAAUCCGGAAGGACGAGAUUGCCACGUGGUCGAUGAGACGAGCAACCCCGCUGGAGCAAGUCCAAACAGUCCCGCUUAUGCGGCACGUUCAGGGACAGGUAGGACGCACAGUUGAAUGCAGUCACCGAAAGGGAACAGAAAGGGGCUUACUCCCUGCAUUC